rnacentral:piRNA from 1 species
UGGAAAUGUGACAAUAGCUAA